CAGCAGCCGCGGGAAUACGUAGGGUGCGAGCGUUAAUCGGAAUUACUGGGCGUAAAGCGUGCGCAGGCGGUUCGUUAAGACAGAUGUGAAAUCCCCGGGCUUAACCUGGGAACUGCAUUUGUGACUGGCGAGCUAGAGUAUGGCAGAGGGGGGUAGAAUUCCACGUGUAGCAGUGAAAUGCGUAGAGAUGUGGAGGAAUACCGAUGGCGAAGGCAGCCCCCUGGGCCAAUACUGACGCUCAUGCACGAAAGCGUGGGGAGCAAACAGGAUUAGAGACCCGUGUAGUCCCUGUCUCUUAUAC
rnacentral:rRNA from 1 species